GGCAGACUUAACAAUUUCUCUACUGCUCCUUCCAUAUCCUUCCAGAGCCUCGAAACCAGGUCAGCUAGGCGAAACGAGCCAGACACAAAAGAGCGAAUAUUACAUGAGUCCACUUCCAUCAAACAUCUGGACUAGCUUUUACACUUAGCUCAGGCUCACCUGCCUAGCAAUGGUGUGACCCACAGAGAGCUGGGGCCUCCCACAUCAAGCAUCAAUCAAGACCGUCUUGCACAGAUUUGGCAACAGGAUGGCCAUAGGCCAAUCUGAUUGAGACAGUUCUUCAACUGAGGCGCUCCCUUCCCAGUAACUCAACGUCAUGGAAGAAUCUGACAAUCCUGAUUCAUCCUAAUACAUCCCGGCCAAAGAGAAGAUACCCUACGCUUUUCUUAACUUCCCUCAUUUUUCUCUGUCUUCUAGAUAAUACUUGAAUUUUAUGUUAAUGAAGAAAAAGUAUUAGUUCUAUAAUUCAAUAAAGAGGACUUACAAUGCAGAUGUGAUUGCAUAUUGAAAUUCAUUCACACUCAAGUCAACCUACUAGAAAGAAUGAAUGACUGAUGCCUUCUUACGCAAAAUAAAAGAGGGAAAGAGAACACCUGACAUUUGCCAUUAAGUGGAAUAGAGGAGUCUGCUUAGACUUUUUCAGAUUCACCCAGGAUAAGCCCUGUUCACCUCCAACUUGGCAGGGACAAAUAGACACUGUACUCAGAGGAGGUUUUUGUUUUUGUUUGUUUGUUUGUUUGUCA